GGAUCAUUGAUAAGUACCCCAAAUUCCUUAGAAAACCUGAACAAAAUAAGUGAGAACUCACACCGCUGUCAUUCUCAUCAUAUCUAAGAUCC